UUUCUCCGCCGGCGACCGGCGCACGGGUGAGUAACACGUAUGCAACCUGCCCCUGUCAGGGGGACAACCCGCCGAAAGGCGGGCUAAACCCGCGUACAUGCCACCGGGGCAUCCCGGAGGCAGGAAAGGCUUCGGCCGGACAGGGAUGGGCAUGCGGCGCACUAGGCAGUAGGCGGGGUAACGGCCCACCUAACCGACGAUGCGUAGGGGUUCUGAGAGGAAGGUCCCCCACACUGGUACUGAGACACGGACCAGACUCCUACGGGAGGCAGCAG
rnacentral:rRNA from 1 species